UCUUCCUCAGAAUAUUCCUUUUUCUAAUCUCUUUCUCUCUCUCUCUAGACUAUUGUUUCUUCAUUUCUCUCUCUUCUUUCUCUGUUGUUAUAUAUACAAGUUUUGUUGUAUACAAACUUCGUUGUGAAGCUAUGUCGAUUGCGUUGGAGAGGAAUAAUACAGCUGAUCGUCAGAUCGAACGGUCAGGAUUCGUGCACGGAAUGGCGUUUAUUCCGAUCUAUAAGUCGGCAGAUCUUAGGGUUCAGGCGAAGCAGGAAAAUGAGGAUGAUCGGACCUCUUCCUCGUCUUCUUCUUCUUCGAUUGGUAGGAAUAGUGAUGACUCGCCGGCGGCGGGAGAUGCUUCGUCGGACGGCGACGGCGAGGAGGUUCAGAGUCCUUUCAAACCUGCUGGUGCUUUGGAUAAUUUGGAGGCUUUAGAGGAGGUUUUGCCAAUAAAGAGGGGCAUAUCAAAUUUUUACGCUGGAAAAUCAAAAUCAUUUACUAGUCUAGCAGAUGCAGCAUCAUGUUCCUCGCUUAAAGAUAUGGUCAAGCCAGAGAAUGCAUUCACUAGGAAACGCAAGAACUUGCUUGCUCACAACAAUUUCUUUGACAAGAAUCGGAAUCACUUCCCAAGAAAUUAUAGUGGUGGGUUAUACAAGAGACCGAUAAACUCUAGAAGCUCAUUAGCUCUUGGUGCAACCUCAAGCUGCUCUGAGAGCAAUAACAGCUCCGAGUCUUUGAACUCAAAUCCAUCAUCACCUCAUUUCCCUCUUCCUCCUUUGCCUCCGCAAUCAAGAAGAUAUAGCAAUGAGUCAUCAUCAUCACCUCCUGAACAGAAGUUUAGUGCAUGGAGGUCUUUCUCCUUAUCGGAUCUGCAAGGGACUGCUGCUUCAACUCCCAGUCUCACGGGCAUAAAGGAAUAGAGAAGAUAUCUUGACAGUAACUUAAUUUUGUUGUCACCCUAUGAGCCUAACUUCAUAUAGGUUUCAAUGGAGGUUGGCUUAUUUUAGCAGUUAUAGGCUUCAGUCUCGCACCCUGCCUCUGUAAUUAUUGAUCAAGGCAUACCAAAUCUUGGCAUCUUAAGAAUGGAGGAGACCUGGUGGCCGUGGGAAUAAAAGAUUACUUGGUUUUGCUUGCUGACACCAUCAUAUCCUUACUCUAGGUGUAAGCUUGAGCAUGUUUUCUAGAAUUUAUUUUGACACUACCCAAUCAUCGUAGUUUGAUAGUCUGACUAACAAGUUUGCGGCAGCAUGUUGUGGUUGACGAGUAGACCAAUGGAUUCCCAGCUUGAGACGUUCAAAGGUUUAAUCACUACCAACGUGAGUUGGCAUGGCUGCAAAACCUUUUCAAAUCACAGUUGAGGAAUUCAGACUUUACCAUACGAUUGACCGAGCACUUUAUUCUCUCCUUGUUGUUGAGCUUCAGCGUGAUCCUUUGGAGUCAAUGCAGACAUUGGCAUUGUGGAUUUGGUUGGAGCGAACACGUUUCAACGAUAUUAUCAGGAAGAUCUUGUCCUUACCUCAAUUUUCGAUUACUGAGCUUGCUGAUGAGGCUAUAACCUGCCUCAAAUGCAUUGAGGACAACCGGUUCCUGCUCUCAACUGACGCAGGUGAGAUUCCGCUAACUCAAAGUCUCAUGGCAAAAGAGUUCUCCCUCCUGUUUUUCCAUGAAAAUCGGGACAGUGCCACCAGUGGGAUUAGGAAGAUUGUUACUGAGGUUUGUCUCAAGGCAUUGACAGAUAUCAUGGAGAAAGCCUUGAAGAGAGGUUCUGAACAAACUUUGACGGAAAGCAAAAUGGCGAUGGUGGCACCUCUUGCUGAGUCAUUCUUGAUAGAAAGAAUUGCUCAAUUGGGACUUGGGAGUGACGCGUCUCCUAAGAGGACGAAGGGACACGGCGUACCAUGUGAAGAACGGACCAUGUUUGUUACUUUUUCCAAGGGAUACCCUGUUGCUGAAGUUGAAAUCAGGGAAUUCUUCAGUAGGAUUUUUGGAGACUGCAUAGAGUGCAUUCACAUGCAGGAGGUUUAAUAACUACCAACGUGAGUUGGCAUGGCUGCAAAACCUUUUCAAAUCACAGUUGAGGAAUUCAGACUUUUCCAUACAAUUGACCGAGCACUUUAUUCUCUCCUUGUUAUUGAGCUUCAGCGUGAUCCUUUGGAGUCGAUGCAGACAUUGGCAUUGUGGAUUUGGUUGGAACGAACACGUUUCAACGAUAUUAUCAGAAAGAUCUUGUCCUUACCUCAAUUUUUGAUUAAUGAACUUGCUGACGAGGCUGUAACCUGCCUCAAAUGCAUUGAAGACAGCCAAUCCCUUCUCUCAACUGAUGCAAGUGAGAUUCCGCUAACUCAAAGCCUCAUGGCAAAAGAGUUCUCCCUCCUAUUUUUCCAUGAAAAUCGGGACAGCGCCACCAGCGGGAUUAGGAAGAUUGUUACUGAGGUUUGUCUCAAGGCAUUGACAGAUAUCAUGGAGAAAGCCUUGAAGAGAAGUUCUGAACAAACUUUGACGGAAAGCGAAGUGUCGAUGGUGGCACCUCUUGCUGAGUCAUUCUUGAUAGAAAGAAUUGCUCAAUUGGGACUUGGAAGCGACGCGUCUCCUAAGAGGACGAAGGGACGCGACGUACCACGUGAAGAACGGACCAUGUUUGUUACUUUUUCCAAGGGAUACCCUGUUGCUGAAGUUGAAAUCAGGGAAUUCUUCACUAGGAUUUUUGGAGACUGCAUAGAGUGCAUUCACAUGCAGGAGGUGAAGUCCCAUGAACAAGCUCUUUAUGCUCGAAUCGUGUUUGUUACGCCUGCAAUUAUAGAUUUUAUUCUCAAUGAUGUGCCUAAAGCUAAGUUUACUAUCAACGGUAAGCAUGUGUGGAUGCGAAAAUUUGUCCCGAAAAAUGGAAACUCUUCCCUCCCAUACAUGCUGCCUCAGAAUCUGCCUGAAACUAUUUAGUCCUUUUUUUCUGUAUGUUUAUCUUUCUGAGAAUGGAGUUAGAAGAAAUCCUGUUUUCAGUUUGUAGUCCCUGCAGUCCAACUUAAGGACCCUAAAAUUAUGAUGCAGUGAAAUGGUUUUCUUAUAGCAAUGAAAACAAGUCUCUUUUUAA